GGACGAACGCUGGCGGCGUGCUUAAUACAUGCAAGUCGAGCGGGGAUAGGGUGCUUGCACCUGUUUCCUAGCGGCGAACGGGUGAGUAACGCGUAGGUAAUCUGCCUUGUAGCGGGGGAUAACUAUCCGAAACGAUAGCUAAUACCGCAUACCACCUACGGACUAAUGCAGGGGAUCUUAAAGGGGCAAUUGCGCCACUACAGAUGGACCUAAGUCGGAUUAGCUAGUAGGUGAGGUAAAGGCCUACCUAGGCGACGAUCUGUAGCGGACCUGAGAGGGUGAUCGGCCACACUGGGACUGAGACACGGCCCAGACUCCUACGGGAGGCAGCAGUGGGGAAUAUUCGACAAUGGGGGGAACCCUGACCGAGCAAUGCCGCGUGUGUGAAGAAGGCCUUCGGGUUGUAAAGCACUGUAAUCAAGGAGGAGGGAGUGUGAGAGAAUACCGUGGAUAAGUGGACGUUACUCGCAGAAUAAGCACCGGCUAACUCUGU
rnacentral:rRNA from 1 species